CAAAAGUUAGCACAUAAGGGAGGAUUGCUCAAGUCAUCUUUGAGACCACGCGCCUCUUAAAAUUAAACCACUGAUGUGAUCGAGACUCUUCACUUACCAAGUUCAUGUACCUCCCUAAUUAAGAAAAUAAGAAAAGAUAUGGAAAAUUUGAUUAAAAGUAAGAAACACCUUAAUAAAGUGAGUUACAAAAUGCAUAAGAUCACAAUUAAUAUUCAGAUUAAAAAGUGUGUCUGCUGUGAAAUAUAAUUAAGUAACUGAACUAAGGGAAUUGGUGAUGACAACACACACAAUUGUAGUAUUAAUAUUAGAAGCAGCUGGUAAUAUUAAUUUCCCAUAUAUAUUAUUAAUUUCUUUCCUUUUUUGGUAAUACGUGUAUGUGAACAUGAAUGUGAAGGGAAUGAAAGAAGAAGACAGUAUAGAGGUGUGAGGCAAAGGCCAUGGGGAAAAUGGGCAGCCGAAAUCCGUGACCCAAAAAAGGCAGCUAGAGUAUGGCUUGGUACUUUUCACACUGCUGAAGAUGCUGCUGUUGCAUAUGAUGAAGCUGCACUUAAAUUUAAAGGAAACAAAGCUAAACUCAAUUUCCCUGAAAGAGUUCAAUGCAAAACUGAUCAAUUUGGGACUACAUACCUGAUCACUGCUAGUCACCAACAACACCAAUUUCCAGCCAGUAAUUUUCUCUCAAAUUAUAACUCUCAAUUUGGCAGUAAUGAUAACAAUGCUGAUGAUUUGAACUUUGGCGUAGCGCCGAGUUUUUAUCACCCUUCUGCAGGUACAGUGGUUGAUUCGAAAUAUAUAUAGAGGUUGAUUUCUCAGAUGGUUAUUCAACUAACUAAUAGUAUUGUCUUAGAAUGUCUAUGUUUCUUCUUGAUUUGAAUUUUGCUGUAAAGAAAGCGACUUUCUAAUAAAUUGAAUGACCAUCUGAUGAUAAAUCAAUUGAAAAUAUAGACAUGGUAUGUAGGUCAUGGAAUAUAUACAUGUAUGUUGCAUAAUUGUCACCAUCAUCUUGUCUAAAAGCUUAGGUUGUUGGAGAGGAUGUGGUUUUAUUACUUAAUUAUAUCUAUUCCUAAUUCAUUUUUCGUAGGCUGAGCACAUAAAAAAUCCUCUUUGGUAAUGGUUGACAGUGAAAUUCGAACCUAGUACUUGAAACUUACAAGCUUGCUUGCUUUGCUACCAUAUUAAAAAUGUGUGACGUUUCUUAGAAACAACACACUUUUAUUUACUUAAUUUUGUAUUCAGCAAUAUCUAACUCUAUCUCUACUUUUUUUUCGCACGUAUAUAGCAGGAUUCAACCCUAACGCACUGACUUCUGUCGAACCUUCGGAAUCAUCAUCGCUGACAUCUUUGAUACAACAAGUAUCUCAUGUGGAACAAGAACCAAGGUAUAUUAAUCACCAGCAAGAAGAUGAAAAUGUUCUCAGAUUUUCAUCUUAUUUUGGAACUUGUUCAAGUUCAGGUCCUACUGAAAGUAGUUUGGAGGAGUUUGGAGAUCCAAAAUAAUUAAUUUUUUCGACCAACAUGAAGGUAUACAAUUUCUUGAGGAUAUAUGCCUUUUACGUACUAAUUUAUUAAGUUUUUUGUUUUAAAUAAAUGUGUCUUUAAUUUCUUUCUUGUUUGUCAUGAAAUUAAUUAAAAGCACUACUCAAUUGGUUUGGUUAAUAAACUCAAUUGAACAGGAACUGUAUGUACCUUAUGAAAAUAAAUUAAUGUCAUGUUGUUAAAUGUGCUAAGCUCUUUAGUCUGUCUAUAGGUUCAUCACAAUUUGACCUUUUUUUUUUCAUCACAAUUUGACAAAAGUGAUGAAUUCGAAUAUUGAUAGUUUGUUGUUGAAGAGUCUCACCACAUCGGAUGAAAAAAAAGGAUGGGUGAUCUCAUUAAUAUGGCUGUAAGCUAAUUUUUGAGGUUGAGUUAGAUCUAAAAUCCAUCUCUAAUUUAUGCUGCUAAUUUCUAAAUUUUUUUUUUCUUAUUUCCUCUCACUAUAUAAAUUUUGUGCAAGUGUAUAUCACUUAAUCAAAGUUAUAUUGCAUAAUAAUGCAAUUGGAUAUUAUAUACAUUUUGCCACACUAUACUUCCACAAGAUGAGAAUAAUGUUUGUGUACACAUUACUUUUGCAAAUCCCAUCUAUAUAAUUACAUUAAUGAGGAUGUCAUUGUUAAUUGUUGAUAGUAAUUAGUACAUCGCAUAAUUGCCUGAAAUACUAAAAGUGCCAGUAGGUUCUAGAAGAGUGUAUCAUCUCCAUUAUUCGUAAUUAAAGCUCUUGAUUCCUUGUGAACACAUAGACAAACAACACUAAAACGCCAUUCUUUUUAUAAGUGUGGGUGAUCAUCCUCUCGAAUCAGCUACUAAUCAUCAUCUUAAUAAGCUAAUUGUCUCACCAACUAGCUAAUCAGACUCAUGGAUUAUAUUCUUCCUUUUGCUCUUCGAUUAGCUUAUGGGGUAUAGCAGUUUUGACACGUUACUUACUCGUCCGAUGGUAAUUAUAAGUUGCUCCAUAUAUAUCGGUAGUGUAAAAAUCAGUAAAUUUCAUAAUAGUAUAUAUUAUGUUACUACAAGCAAAGCAUAACAUAGAGAUUUACCAUUAAUUAUCUUAUAAAAUCCCGAUUAUAGAAAUACUACUUCACCUAUAAUUAAACAGGUCUUAAUUAAGGCUUCAUGAUUGAGAGACCUUCACUGAAAAUUACUACUACAAUAGUACACAGCUCCUCCUCAUAUGCACUUAAUAUUUUGUUUUGCUUUAAUUCGUCAACAGGAUGUUCUUUUCGUAUUGGAGAAAAAGAGAAAGGUUUGAGACGUGAGAAAAAUUUUCCCUCAAAAAGAUGUUUUUUUUUUAAAAAAAAAAAAUUAAAUUUUGGUCCAAUGUCUGGACCAUUUUAUUCAUAUUUCAAGGAAAAAAACAAAGCCCAAGUUUACUUCAAAAAGAUGUUAUAAUUUACAUAUUUGAAAAAAAAAAAAUCUGGCAAUCUUCGAUUGAAUACAAUGGUGUGAAAUUAAAGGAUAUUGGGCUGGAGUGGAGCACAUGUUUAGAGGCAUUGUUAUGAAUGAGCCUAGAUCAGUAUUGGCAAAACAACCCAACAUUGAACUAAGGGGCUGCGAUUUGGUUGGGAAGCUAGUUAUCCUGGAAUUAACUAUCCAACGAUUAGUUAUUCCAUUCUCAAGAAGGGAUAAAAAUAACAUUACAAUUUCAAGAUGAGUUAUUCUGUGCAUAUUAUCCCAAUCAAACAUGGGAUAAUUAGUUUAUUCUAAAAUUAAUCUCGAAAUUAGUUAUCUCUUAUUCCUCCGACCAUUAAGGGGCUAUUUUUGAUAUCCGGGUUGAUAAAUAGCUGUAAAAUAGGCCAUGUGUAUUGUGCUUAAGCAAAGUAUAUGACUUCUCAUCCCCUUUCCGUCUAAAUCCUAUCUCUUUCUACCCUCUCUAUUAAGAGCUCUUGCAGUCAUUGUUGGGUAUUUAAGAGAGGUGUUUACUACACAACAAAUUAAACCACUUUAUUUGAUAAUUGAAGAUGUUUCUGAGAAUACUUCAUAGGGAACUCAUCAUAUAUUUUAUAGGAAAAAUGUCAGGCCUCUUCCGAAAAGUUACGUAUAUGUCUGUUUAUACGAAUUUAAAUUCAGAUAAACUGACUUUUUGUUAUAGAAAUAAAAUAAGAUACUAAUUAAUUUUUAAUAAAAUACCCAACAUACAUAUAGUUCGUCGGAACUCACCUUUUGACACUUCCAAAGUUCGAUUGAUCAUGGUUGAUGAUACGAUGAUCAGCUUUCCCUUUGUACGUAGCAUGUAAGCGUGUGCAUAAUCAGAAGCUAACCUUUGUUGGAAAAUGCUGUGAUCCUCAUUUUAUAUUUUAGGUGAAAAGCUGACAUUAUUGAAUGAAUAUAAUUAGAGGAUCUAAAAUUUCAAGUUUAUUCGAUCUGGAUUCUAAAAAAACUUGAAACUACUCAAUUCGCCGAUAAGUCCAAUGAAGAAUCUAGGGCUUUAGUUUGCAAAAGCUUAAUUUGUCUCAGGCAUUCCAUGAGUCUCUUUCUUUUUGCAUAUGGCCGCGCUGCCACUCCAUGUUCUAUUACGGGUCAACUUUGAUUUGAAACCCAUUAAUUUAGAAGGAAUAGAAUCUCAAACUCGUAAACUUCAAAUCUUGAAUACUAUACGCAGUGCUUUUGC
rnacentral:lncRNA from 1 species